rnacentral:rRNA from 1 species
GACGAACGCUGGCGGCGUGCUUAACACAUGCAAGUCGAACGGAAAGGCCCUGCUUUUGUGGGGUGCUCGAGUGGCGAACGGGUGAGUAACACGUGAGUAACCUGCCCUUGACUUUGGGAUAACUUCAGGAAACUGGGGCUAAUACCGGAUAGGAGCUCCUGCUGCAUGGUGGGGGUUGGAAAGUUUCGGCGGUUGGGGAUGGACUCGCGGCUUAUCAGCUUGUUGGUGGGGUAGUGGCUUACCAAGGCUUUGACGGGUAGCCGGCCUGGGAGGGUGACCGGCCACAUUGGGACUGAGAGACGGCCCAGACUCCUACGGGAGGCAGCAGUGGGGAAUAUUGCACAGUGGGCGGAAGCCUGAUGCAGCAGCGCCGCGUGCGGGAUGACGGCCUUCGGGUUGUAAACCGCUUUCGCCUGUGACGAAGCGUGAGUGACGGUAAUGGGUAAAGAAGCACCGGCUAACUACGUG